AUCGCGCCAGUCCAGGGAGGGAUGAGAACCCUCGACCAGGGUUCGACCACUGGCGCAGCCAGUGGGACAGUCUGCAAGCCUCGCGAGCAGACUGCCCGAAGGGUGAGGCCCGAAGGGUGAGGCCCGACGGGCCGAAUCAAUCCCUCCCUCACCGCCA
rnacentral:sRNA from 1 species